GCUCCACUAGCUCAGGGGUUAGAGCACCGUCCUUAUAUGGACCUCACACAGAAAAAACUUGCCGCAAGGCCUGUGUGUUGCCAACGACUGUCUAGAUCAGCACUUUGAUUGGUGUCUACAAUAAUCAGUCAAAGUGGGAGAACCUACUACACAGUUAAGCCAGCUCAGCUGGCGUCUUAAGCUAGGCGGCGGUCCCGGGUUCAAAUCCCGGGUGGAGCA
rnacentral:tRNA from 1 species